ensembl:lncRNA
ACUCUUUACAACAGUUUUUAUCCAGUCACUUCAAUGUGCUCAACACAAGGUGACAUUGGGGAUGUGACAAUGAACGGGACAGGCACAGCCCUGUACUCUUCAGACCCUGCCAGUGCAUAGAAAGGGCGAUUAACCUGAUGUGAGGGUCAGGGCAGGCUUUGGGGGCAUGGCAUAGAGCUGAAGGGCCAGCAGGGAUUCAUGUGGCAGAGGGACAGCAGAGACAGGAGUGUUGGCUGGAAAGCAGAGGAGGAGGCCCAAGCAGUACUGCCGGAACAGGAGCCGACACUCCUGAACCAAAGCCUGCGCCGGCUCUGGGAGGUGGGCCCGGCGCUGGAGUGGCAGGUAGUCAAAGGACACAUCUGGCCCAGCUGUACAGCGAGGGCGAGCUCGGCCUUCAGCAGGGGGCGGCAUCCUCAGGCCUCUCCCUGGGGAACUUGCUCCACCUUCCUUGAAAAGAAAACGUGUCUGAAUCUGAAAGUGCAUGCCUACUUUGAUGAGCUUAAAAUGGAAUUCUAAUAAUCACUCGGGUCAGGGGACAAUGCUGUAUUCUAGCCUCACGGGCAGCGGAGGUGGCCAGAAAAUCAGUAGCUGGAGCAGGAGCCGCCAGCGCAUCCAGCAGCGCAGCGGCGACAGUGGCGAGUAGCAGCGAGGCGGGGACUGACCACAAGGCUUUCAGUGACGACAGUGAGUCACCUGGGACCUACAGAAUGCAAGAGAAUUGGGCUGCCGGACGUCUCAGGCUGUGAGUCCUGGGUUGACCCCAACGUUGGUUGUGUCUGGGAAAACAAGAUUUAGAUAAACAAGAGUACGCUGUCCACGAGCCAAGAGAACACUGCAAGAGGAAUGGAGAAGCGAUGAGAGCGGGAUGGUCAAGCCAACUUUCACUUCUGCCGCUGGUUCGCACUGGCCGUGGGAGGCAUUGGCAAUGGAGGCUGCCAGCCCGGUGCAGGAGAUGGCAGACAGCACUGGCCCCCCAAAGGCCAGGCCGAGGGCUUUCCUAGCCCCUCGGGGCGCCUCUGUGCAGCCCCGGGCGGCAGGCUGGGUGGGGGCGGGGGAACCAGGAAGAAGUCUGCUCCCCCCCCCCUUUCUUUCUGCAAAGGUUUAUGGGGCACUGACCUGUGGCAGACGUUGUCGCAGGUGCUGGGGAGACAGUAAUCCAUUGCUUUGGUGUUACCUAUGUGUGAUGUGGAGGAAACAGAUCACGGAAAGGUAGACAGACCACACACACACGUGGAGAAACCAGUUGUGUGGUAACAGGUGAGCUGAAGAAAGCUGAGCAGGGGAGGGAGGGCCUCUGAGGAGCAAUGAGGGCGCCAGCACGGGAACAUCGGGGAAGGCGAUUCCAGCCCACGGAAGAGGCCGAAGGGCAAAGGCCGCAGGCCAGGAAUGUGCACGGCCUCCAUUCGCUCCUGGCUCCCACACGUCUCUUCCCCCAAUGCAGGAGAGGCCUGCCACGUGAGCAGAUAGGCAGUAAUGGGGUCAGUAGGGAGGGUAGAGCUUGACACCGUGAGGUGUGGAGCAGGGACCCCACCAGAGGUGCCUGGGGCAUCUAGAAGUGUCUGCGGGCACUUAGAUGUAGUUGUGGCUCUCACCCACGGGAGAAUCUGGACAUCAGUCCCAGCCCACGUUUGCCCAGUGGUGGUGGCCUGGCCCGAGCAGGGAGCAGGGAGCGCAGCCCCAGCAGGACCCUCACCUGGAAGGAAACCAUGAGGAGGUUUGUGUCCCAGUCGCAUCCUCCAUCCCACCUUCCCACUUUGCUCCUGGACUCUGUCAGUCAUUGAGUCAGUCAGCAAAUACUGAAGACCUGCUGUGCGAGUGCUGGGGGCACUGUGGAGAGCAAAGGUGUGAGGCCCAGGUGAGGAGUGGCCAAAGCAUGAGGUGGUGUCAGCGAGGGAGAACAUGAGCUGCUGAUAAUGACAGCCAUCUAAUCAUCUCCGCAAACAGGCCUUAAACCCUAGGUCCAGGACUCCUGAACUUUGUUCAAAGCCUGUGACAGCUGAGUUCUUAUCUUGGCUCCUAGCGCUGUUCCAGCUCUGGCUGCGCACACACACCCCUGCCCCCGCCCUCGUUCUCAGCCGCGCUCAUCAUGCCAGGAGUGCGGUGAGGAUGCGGAGGCUGCUCUGAGCUGAAAGUGCAAGGUGACCAAGCCACGGCCUGCAGGAGCCCCGAGUGUGAGGUGGGCGAAGGCACAAGCAGUGUUUCCCAGCUGUAGUUUUAUGACAGCCCUCUUCCAGGGGAGGACACUGCUGAGCCAGAGGAGCAGAAAGGAGGGGGUGGAAGAAGAGGGUGGAUGGAAGUCGCCGUCUCUGAUGCGUGCACCAAGGCUGGUGACUCUUCCAAGGUCAUAGCAUGUCAGCAGCGCACUGAUCUAAGUCAGAGCUUAGCCCUGCUCUGCCUCAUGGCUCCCCUCAUCCCUUAUGCUCCUCUGACCUUGGCCAUCGCCUCCUGCCUGAGUGCUCCUGUCAUUCCAGCUGGUCCUAAUCUGAGAGUGGAUUAGAUUAGAAGGUACCCUGACCUUAGCUCAGAACUUCCUCCACCCAAGAAGCUGCACUCCUCUGAUCCCUCCCAGCCAGUGGGAGACCCUAAGAGGGGGGCCAGGGAGAAUCACUCCUCUCAGCUGGUCCCCCAAAUUU